UACGUAGGGGGCUAGCGUUGUCCGGAUUUAUUGGGCGUAAAGAGCGUGUAGGCGGCCAGGUAGGUCUGCUGUGAAAACUCGAGGCUCAACCUCGAGACGUCGGCGGAAACCAUCUGGCUAGAGUCCGGAAGAGGAGAGUGGAAUUCCUGGUGUAGAGGUGAAAUUCGUAGAUAUUCGCAAGAACACCAGUGGCGAAGGCGGCUCACUGGCCCGGUACUGACACUGAGGCGCGAAAGCGUGGGGAGCAAACAGG
rnacentral:rRNA from 1 species